AUUGAACGCUGGCGGCAGGCCUAACACAUGCAAGUCGAGCGAGCGGCGGACGGGUGAGUAAUGUAUGGGGACUGCCCGAUAGAGGGGGAUAACUACUGGAAACGGUAGCUAAUAACGCAUACGAUCGGAUAACCCAUAUGGGAUGAGCUAGUAGGUGAGGGAAUGGCUCACCUAGGCGACGCGCCCUAGCUGGUCUGAGAGGAUGAUCAGCCACACCGGGACCGAGACACGGCCCAGACUCCUACGGAGGCAGCAGGGGGGAAUAUGGCACAAUGGGCGCAAGCCGGAUGCAGCCAUGCCGCGUGUAUGAAGAAGGCCCUAGGGUUGUAAAGUACUUUCAGUCGGGAGGCGUUACCGACAGAAGAAGCACCGGCUAACUCCGUGCCAGCCGCCGCGGUAAUAC
rnacentral:rRNA from 1 species